CCGAACCGACCUCCGUUGAAAAGGCGGCGGAUGAACUGUGGGUAGCGGAGAAAUUCCAAUCGAACCCGGAGAUAGCUGGUUCUCCCCGAAAUAGUUUUAGGACUAGCCUCAAGUUAGAUACCUGGAGGUAAAGCACUGAAUAGCCUAGCGGCCGAGAGGUUAGCGAAGCUUAUCAAACUCAGAAUGCCAGAGUAUUGAUGCUUGGGAGUCAGACAGUGUCAGAUAAAUGUCAUUGUCAAAAGGGAAACAGCCCAGAUCUACAGCUAAGGUCCCAAAGUCAGGUUAAGUGGAAAACGAUGUGAAGAUACGCAGACAACCAGGAUGUUGGCUCAGAAGCAGCCACUCAUUCAAAGAGUGCGUAAUAGCUCACUGGUCGAGCGUCUUUGCGCGGAGAAUUUAACGGGGCUAAACCUGACACCGAAGCUUAGGCAAUCCAGCAAUGGAUUGGGUAGGGGAGCGUUGUAUACGCGGAGAAACAGUAGCGUAAGCGGCUGUGGAGUGUAUAGAAGUGAGAAUGCCGGAAUGAGUAGCGCGAAUGCAGUGAGAAUCUGCAUGGCCGAAAGCCUCAGGUUUUUGGAGGAAGGUUCGUCCGCUCCAAGUUAGUCGGGAGCUAAGGUGAGGCCGGAAGGCGUAGCCGAUGCACAGACGGUAGAGAUUCCGUCACCACCAAAAGAGUUAAGCACAGGGACACAUUUGAAGUCUCAGAGCCGGGUGUUGGUUCCGGUAGAGAUCGAGGGAAGUUAGUACCGAAGUCUGGGAUGGAAGAUGGCGAGAAAAGCUGUGUGUAUUUCUGAGGUGCCCGUACCGCAAACCGACACAGGUAGGUAGGAAGAAGAUUCUAAGGCCAACGGGAGAAGGGUUGUUAAGGAACUCGGCAAAUUGACCCCGUAACUUCGGGAGAAGGGGUGCUCCAGAGAUGGAGCCGCAGAGAAUCGGCCCAAGCAACUGUUUACCAAAAACACAGGUUUGUGCUAAAUCGAAAGAUGACGUAUACGAGCUGACGCCUGCCCGGUGCUGGAAGGUUAAGAGGAGAUGUGCAAGCAUUGAAUCGAAGCCCCAGUGAACGGCGGCCGUAACUAUAACGGUCCUAAGGUAGCGAAAUUCCUUGUCAGGUAAGUUCUGACCCGCAUGAAAGGCGUAAUGAUUUGGGCACUGUCUCAACAGCCCGCCCGGCGAAAUUGUAGUACCGGUGAAGAUGCCGGUUACCCGCGACAAGACGGAAAGACCCCAUGGAGCUUUACUGUAGCCUAAUAUUGGGUUUCGAUGUUGCAUGCACAGGAUAGAUGGGACAC
rnacentral:rRNA from 1 species